UACGAAGGGGGCUAGCGUUGUUCGGAGUUACUGGGCGUAAAGGGCGCGUAGGCGGCCUUCCAAGUCGGGUGUGAAAGCCCACGGCUCAACCGUGGAAUUGCACUCGAGACUGAAGGGCUCGAGGACGGGAGAGGAUGGUGGAAUUCCCAGUGUAGAGGUGAAAUUCGUAGAUAUCGGGAGGAACACCAGUGGCGAAGGCGGUUGCCUGGAGCUUUGCUGACGCUGAUGCGCGAAAGCGUGGGGAGCGAUCCGG
rnacentral:rRNA from 1 species